rnacentral:tRNA from 21 species
GCCCGGAUAGCUCAGUUGGUAGAGCAGAGGAUUGAAAAUCCUCGUGUCGGUGGUUCGAUUCCGCCUCCGGGCACCA